rnacentral:rRNA from 1 species
UACGUAGGGGGCAAGCGUUGUCCGGAAUCAUUGGGCGUAAAGCGCGUGUAGGCGGCCAGAAAAGUCCGCUGUGAAAACUCGAGGCUCAACCUCGAGCUGUCGGUGGAAACUUUCUGGCUAGAGUCUGGAAGAGGAGAAUGGAAUUCCUGGUGUAGCGGUGAAAUGCGCAGAUAUCAGGAAGAACACCCGUGGCGAAGGCGGUUCUCUGGGACGGUACUGACGCUGAGACGCGAAAGCGUGGGGAGCAAACGGG